UGAUGAUGAUAAUUUUUGAGACAUACUGUACAUGGUCACGUACAUGGCGCCUCCAUUUCUUAUGUCAAAAAGUUCGUCAAGCUUCGUGUGUAUUUUGUGUGGAUGACAACAAAACCAAGCGUCUGCGAUAAUUUCUAUCAGCUAUCGUUUAAUUUGUGUACCAUCAUGCUUUUACAACAGCAUUUCCGAUUCAGAUAGCGUUUGGACAUCAUGUUUUCCGUCCACGGCUGCAGCUUCCCUCCAUGCUAAAUUGAUGGAAGAACAGUGGCGCGUUAAACGGUGGGCGGACUGGGCGGCCGCCAGGGGCCCCGUCGAUCUAGGGGGCCCCGUCAUUGUGGAUGUUCGACUUCGUACCGAUUCUACCCCCCCCCCCCCCCCCUCUGGAUGGGACUUUUACCAUCUAUUUCAAAAAGACACAUUUUUUAUUAAUUCAUUUUUCCCAUCGCUUUACUCACUGUAUUUUGUCGAGGGCCCCGAACUGCUGAAAACCGGGGCCCAUACUACUCAAAGCAGCACAUUAAAUGUUCUAAGAAAUCUGCCAAUACUUGCAUCAAAGCUGCGCUGCGACACGCGCGCACAGCUCAAAUCAAUACCUCAUCAUCGUUGGCGCAAAGUAUUGGACAGAGCGAGAAACCGUCAAUUUUUGCUGGUGUGGGUGGCCUGUGCACGAGACACCCAAACCCAGAACCACGCAGAGCAACUUGCUGCUAAAAUGGAAUGCACAGAACGCUGCGCUUAACUACCACCGAAAACCCGUUACACAACACAAGCAUACAACACACCCAAACCAAAAGUUUAAAGGCCCCGAAACACUAUAUCAAUACACCGGCUCGUAGCCGGUAAAAUUAGCAGGAAAAACUGACUAACAUCAAGCAAGCAACGGUGCUCCAGUGGGUAGAGGUUUCAUUCGAGAAACGAUUCCAUCGAUAUCGAUGUGUGCGCUUUUCAAUUUGGCUUGGAUGAAACGUGCCUGUGUUUGUCUGGGGGCCCCCUAUACUUGUUUUGAAGAUGUGUGCCGAAAACAGAUAGCUGUUUUCACGCGAAAAAUGGUAUUCACAUCUCAAGCCUGAGAUCGUGGAGCGUGCCUGCUUUUAACGCAAAACCUUAAAUUUCCACGCGGGGCCUUACUCAACUUUUGUGGUCAACUGACAAAUAGGGGAAAUCGGGAAGGGGUGGUAUUUAUAUGUCCAAAAAGAAACUGUGCCAUGUUAAUAUUAAAAUGAUGUUUUAUCACUAUUUACAUACAACUUUUUGCGUGAAGACAAGAUAAAAAACCGUUACAGCUAUGCUGAAACUAAAACUCAAAGGUGGUUUACGAGGCCCCAACUAUUAUGUGGACUCUUCGAUGAAGGGGCCCCUUCGGUAAGGGCCCCCGUCGGUAAGGAGGCCCCGUCGAUAAGGGGCCCCGUCUAUAAGGGGCCCCGUCAAUGAAGGGCCCGUCCAUUUGGUGUCUUGGUGUGGAUGGUCGAUGCACGAGCUCACCAAAAAAACGCGGAGACACUUGCUGCUAAAAUCCAAUGCACAGCACACAGAACAGAACGCUGCGUUUAACCACAAAGAAAACCCGUUUCAACAGCCACAAGCACACAUCAUACACAGUCAAAAAUUUAAAGGCCCCUAAACAAAAUUUCAAUACACCGGCUCGUAGCCGGAGAAAUUAGCAGGAAAAAAUGACACCAAGCUCGCGUCGCUUUAAAAAGCCUAGGAAGGUCGUUUGGUCAACGGUGGGUUCAGUGGGUUGAGGUUUCAUUCGAGGAAUGGUUAAAUCGAUGUCAUUGUGUGCGCUCUUGGUUGGGAUGAACCGUCCUGUACUUGUAUACGGGGCCCCUGCUACCGCUUUGCGAUUCUGUGCCAAAAGCAGACAGCUGUUUCACACGAAAAAUGGUAUUCACAUUCCUGGCCUGGGAUAGUGGAUUGUGUGUGUCUUUUAAUGCAAAAACUAAAAUUUUCAUUCUUGGCCCUAAUCGAACACAUCCAGUUUGUGGACCGAAGAGAAGGGGAAAUGGGAAAGGUUUCAGUUAGAAGAAAGGGGGGAAGGGUAUAAAAAUACUCAAGGAACCUAUGGAACAUGUUCAUUUAUAUAUGGUUUUUAUCGACUAUUUCAAGUUUUGCGAAUACAACAAGACCAAAAACCGUUACAGAUGCAUCUACAUACAGCCAUACACAGCCAUAAUACGAAGAACAAUCUCCAUUGCCGCGUCCAUUUGGGGCCCCGUUGAUGAUCCCGUCGAUUGAGGGGCCCCUUCUAUUUGGUGUUGUCAACCCAAUAUAUCUCCAUUUUCCCCCCGGGGGUUAUGUUUACAAUCAGAUUUACUAUUACUACCAGACCUAUCAGAAGUAUAUUUAUUUUAUUUAUCAUAAGCAUUUUACUAUCAGAAGCAGAAAACAUUUGCCUUUUUAACAUGUGCAAUAUUUUUGUUUAACACGUGCACCUAAUUUGGAAGCGUAGAACGCUGCGAUACAUGCCCACAGCUCAAAACAAUAUCAUUUCAUCAUCGUUGGCCCAAUGCAUUGAACGUUACGCGCGAGUUGGGUAAAGCGAAAUCCGUUACAAGAGAUGCCUCACGCAAACUACUUGCACAUACGACAUUAAAAGGCUCCGAAACCGAUCUCAACACAACGGUUCGUAACCGGUGAAAUUAGCAAGAAAAAUUGGCUGACACCAAGCACGCUCUUUUUAUCUGUUGAGGUUUCAUUCAAGAAUCGAUUCCGAUGUCGAUGUGUGCGCUUUUUAAUUUGGCCUGUGUCUAUGUUAUCACGCAAAAACUAAGAACUCGUGCCCCUGCUAUUUUUUGGGGACUGGACGAAGUGAUGGUGGAAAAGCAAGCUGUUGAAGGGUUUGGGUCAAAUUUGGAAGGGUCGGCGGAAAGGAAAUAUCGAUAUGAAUGAUCGCGUAAAAUUUGACGGUAGCGGUCGGCAAAGUCCGGCCCGCCACAAUAUGCAGUCAGGCCCGAGAAAAUAUUUGCGCGAUUUUGAAAGAUAGGAAGAUCCUAUUCAUUACAAAUUAACUGAACAUAUUUUAAUAUGACAAUUCAUAUCGUUGAACUAUUCCAAAUUUGAUCACCAUAACAUGGAUUGUCGGACCAAUCAAUAUGGUCAAAUUUGAGGAGAAAUUAGAAAAUAGAAACGAAUAAUUCCAUAAAAACCUGACUGUUGAUUUUACGAGAACAAUGGUUACACACUAUUGCUUUUUAAGGAUGCAACGAUUUUCUUGGAGUUUUUUUUUUUAAGAAAUGCACUAUCAAUUGGUCUGACCUGGCCUUACUUGUCCGUGGCCUCAUAAUAGUACUGAACGAUUGUACGAUUGUCUCGAUAAUUUUUCAGCUGUUAAGGUUUUUGUACCAUCUUCAGAUAUAUCCUGAAAACAUUUUGCAACAUGGAAGGAAGGGUACAUUCAGAAGCAAUAUUGCGAUUUUGCUUAAUUGUUUUGAACUUUUUAUGACUUUUGCACAGUAUGCUGCAGACUCUUAAUUGAAGAAUCUUUACAAUCAAUUUUAGUUAUUUAAUAAAAUGAAUUUGAAACUUGCUUGGAUGAUAUAAUAAUUUAAGAAAACCAAUAACCAAUCGCAUUGUUUAAUAUCAUAAACCAGUUAUUUGGGUAUUAACUGUAAUAAUAUAAUAAUAUAUGUGUAAAAAAAUGCAUUCUCCUGGCCCUCACCGCUCGAUCAUUUAGAAAGCAGCUGAUCUAAAGCAGUGGUCUCCAACCUGUGGUCCGUGGAUUACUUGAGACAAACAUACUGCAAUACAAGGUAUUUCCAGUUACUUUCGAAUGAAAAUAUUGUUUUUCCCGCGAGCAACAAGUUAUCGCUCUGACCGAUUGAAAAUGAAGUGGCCGUAAUUCGAAGCAAGACGGUACUUCAGUAUUCAUUGUAAAGGUAAACACCAACGUAAAAGCAAAAUAUUGUUUUCAUGUUAUGCUCACGAUGACGAUUUUAAAUCAAAUCGUCCGUAUUAUGAAACACGAGCUAGAAACUGUAAAGUAGGAAAGAAAAUAUCGUUUAGAACCAUCGUUCUUGUCAAUAAAAGACAAAUGUAACUAGCUUAGCGAAAACGAUAACUUUACGACCUUUAACUUCUUUUGAGUAUAGAUAAAACCAACUCCGAUCAUGGCAGGUCAGAUUUGUUCGGAUUGUCAGGAUAGGACUAAGCCCAUCCAUCAUCUAUCGACUUCUCAUUUAAGGAGUUUAGUUAUGUCCUCCUACACAAGGUAAUCCCUCUAAACUCCAACGUCCUAAAGGUUUUUAUGAUCGCCUAGACGAUCAAGUGUCGAAAGUCCGCUUCGAAACAGUAUCCACAGUACCCAAAAUUUGAACAUACCACAAAGCCUUUCUGAUAUUACUGAUUGUUUAGUCAUUGAUAUCGAUUAAAAACUGGCGAAAAAAAGUAUUGAAAUUGGGGUUUUUAUUGAUGCGCGGGUGGCAGUCCAUGCUGCUCUUGUUCAUCUCUGUUUCAUAAAGAUUUAUACAGAUGUGAACUGUAUUUUGUCGAAGCAAGUUUGUUGAUUUGGUACGCACUCACGGUUAUCAUGAAAUUUCAGCAAGAACAGCAAAGUGGUGUGAAGAUUUUUCUCAACCAAAACGUUAAUCCCGCAAGCCGAAUACGCACCUAAAGGCCGGGCUACAUUGAUCGUACUCGCAAGCGUAAUUUUGAUUUUCACUAGCGCAUCUGGCGGCGGCUGGUGGAAGCUUUUUUUGGUCAUCGAGGGAAUGGACCUGCCGGAUCUCAAAAUUUAGUAGUUUUUCCAUCGUUUUCCAUUGCAAAAAUGGAUGCAAUGCGUGCAAGACAUGUGUAUCUACGUUUUACAAAACUUUUCUCCUCCGAUUUAAGUAAACAAACAUGGAAAAUUAACGUAUUUUCUGGAGCGGCUCCAAAUUGUUUGGCAAAAUGCUUCGGUCAGCCGCCGCCAGAUGCGCUAGUGAAAAUUGAAAUUACACCAAAGAGUACGAUCAAUGUAGCCCGGCCUUAAAAUUUAUCGGGGUGUAAGCGGUUACCAAAUCAAAUGUUUGUUCAUCACGAGCAAGUGGGCAUCGCAUUUUGUUUUCUUUUGAAGCUCAGAAAUGUCGUUUUGACAGAAUAAAUAGCUGCAUUUUCAGUAAUUUGUUUUACUGAUAUUCAGUGAAACGAGAAAACCAUGUAUUACUCAAUAGCUUUCAGUAAAAAAUGUAACUGCAGCAAACUUAUAAAAUUUGCAGUGUAUGAUUCGUACACCAAACCCCCCCCCCCCCCCCGUCGAUGGAUUUGGUGAAGGGGCCCCGUCUACCAUAACGCCUAGGGCCUCGGAGAGGCUUGACCCGCCGCUGUGGAAGAAACCCAUAGAAUGAAUGAAACUUAUGUGAUACAGUGACAAUAUGCAGUGGCAAAAUGAUUAAUUGUCGAAUAAAAUCAUUUGUGUUGCAUUUAUGCAUUUAUUCCAUGAAAUAAUAACACCCUUUGUUGUAACUUAACGAAGAUCUAGAAAAUUCGUAUAGAAAGAGAAACAACAAUGCAGCCAUCCCUGUCGAUAUUUUCGUUAAUUUUGAUCUUUUUCGUUGAAAAUACCGGCUAAAUUUUAGAUUUUAACGAAACAUUGACGAAGCCAGGAAAGCGUUACGCAGUGUUUUAAGCCCUGGAAUUACUGCUGUAUGGAAAGCUAAAAGUAAUACUUUUAGGCAUACUUUUAACGGUUUCUUAGCAGGAUUGUGCUACUUGGGAUGAUAGCCUAAUAGUAAUAUUAUAAUUUAUUUAUACUCAUGAAUUAUCAAUGAGUUUUAACUUUAUUAACGAUUGCUGUUCUUUUUUAUGUUUGUUAAAAAAUUGUUGCUUUUCUAAUUAUCAUGUAAAAAUAAAUAAUAUUAAGACAUGAUCAUCUAUUAAUUUGCUUAUCCAAGGCGGCUAAAACAGGCGUUCAAAAAUGUUGCUUGGGUUUGUGAUAAACAGGCGCUACGCGUAACGCUAGCGUAACGUAGAGGGCUGAGCCUUACUUUUACCACGCCAUCUAUUGUUGAAACCCAAAGUCUUUGAAAGAGAACAGGUCGAAGCCAAAGUCCAUAUAAUACAGAGGUCGAUGCAUAGCUCGAUUUUGGUCCACCAUUUUGAAAGCUUAUUUUUGACAGUUAGAUGAAAAAGCGUUCACAAACGAUUCCCCACAACCAAGCACUUUUUAGGACCAAUUGUGCAUUUUCUGCGCAAAACCUAGUGUAACUAUACAUUUCCUUCUCAUGUACGUGGCAUUGAGUAGUUUUCUUUCAGUAAUUCAUCACUUAAAAAAGACCACAAUAAUUAAUCUGGCCUCUUAGUUUUGACCCUCUUGAGCUGCACAAGAUUUCGUCGUAAUUUCGGGCACUGAUCUUGUUGUAAUUGAUAAUUUCACUAUAAUUCUAUCUUUUCUUGAUAUUCGUCAACUUUUUAAGUACAACAUUACAAAGAAACGCUGUAAAAAUGGCCGAAAAUGCUUUCAGACCACUGCAUGCACAACAACUAAAACCUCAAUGUAUGCUACGAUGAAACUAUUGAAGCUUUUUCAUCCAGCUGUCAAAUCUUUCCCACGCUUUUUGAUCAAAUGUUCUGGACGACUCGACCUCUGUAUUAUAUAGACUUUGGGUCGAAGCGUUUAGAGUAAAUUGACAGAAAGCCAUGGGAAAAUUUUGACAGUUAAAUUGAACAUUGUUUAUGUUUAGCGAUGGACGUUGCUAUGGAGUGAAUAAGAGUUUUGUUCAACAUUUUGCACUCAUUUCCUAUUAGAAUUGUUGUAUUGUUUAAAACUUAUUCUCUUUAUUUUAAACGCCACACAUGAAAUUCAACUCUCUAACAAUUAAAUAAGCGUAGCACGCACGUCUGACCCUUAUCGCGGUCCGUAGGAGAGAGCCCCAGUUAGUGUAUCGAUCUCUUGCAUCAUGCAGAAGACCGAUCACCGAUUAUCUCUCCCGAUCGGCACUCAUCCUGUCGGCUUCCAGGGGUAGGCAACCUCUUUUGUCGCACACAACAUCUCCCCAAUUAAUACCGGCGGUAUGGCUCAUUCCACUUUACAUUCUAAGAAUGACCCUAGAGAGAAGUAGAAACCGUACCGUCGUUCUGCUUAAUCAUUUGCUAAUCCUGAACGUAUACGUAUCUAACUGAUGAACAAAGUGACCCAUCGGGGUUACGAUCACUUGCUUACAAUCUUUUUUUUUUUUCA